UACGUAGGGUGCAAGCGUUGUCCGGAAUUAUUGGGCGUAAAGAGCUUGUAGGUGGUUUGUCGCGUCUGCUGUGAAAAUCCGAGGCUCAACCUCGGACUUGCAGUGGGUACGGGCAGACUAGAGUGUGGUAGGGGAGACUGGAAUUCCUGGUGUAGCGGUGGAAUGCGCAGAUAUCAGGAGGAACACCGAUGGCGAAGGCAGGGUCUC
rnacentral:rRNA from 1 species